AGCAGUCGCCGCGGGAAUACGUAGGGUGCAAGCGUUAAUCGGAAUUACUGGGCGUAAAGCGUGCGCAGGCGGUUUGUUAAGACAGAUGUGAAAUCCCCGGGCUCAACCUGGGAACUGCAUUUGUGACUGGCAAGCUAGAGUAUGGCAGAGGGGGGUGGAAUUCCGCGUGUAGCAGUGAAAUUCGUAGAUAUUCGGAAGAACACCAGUGGCGAAGGCGGCUUACUGGCUCAUUCUAGACGCUGAGGUGCGAAAGCGUGGGGAGCAAACAGGAUUAGAUACCCCUGUAGUCCCUGUCUCUUAUAC
rnacentral:rRNA from 1 species